CCUACGGGAGGCAGCAGUGAGGAAUAUUGGUCAAUGGGCGCAAGCCUGAACCAGCCAAGUAGCGUGAAGGAUGACUGCCCUAGGGGUUGUAAACUUCUUUUAUACGGGAAUAAAGUGCAGUAUGUAUACUGCUUUGCAUGUACCUUAUGAAUAAGGAUCGGCUAACUCCGUGCCAGCAGCCGCGGUAAUACGGAGGGUCCGGGCGUUAUCCGGAUUUAUUGGGUUUAAAGGGAGCGUAGGCGGGUUGUUAAGUCAGUUGUGAAAGUGUGGGGCUUAACCGGAGAAUUGCAGUUGAUACUGGCAUCCUUGAGUACGGUAGAGGUAGGCGGAAUUCGUGGUGUAGCGGUGAAAUGCUUAGAUAUCACGAAGAACCCCGAUUGCGAAGGCAGCCUGCUGGACUGUAACUGACGCUGAUGCUCGAAAGUGUGGGUAUCAAACAGGAUUAGAUACCCGUGUAGUC
rnacentral:rRNA from 1 species